rnacentral:rRNA from 1 species
CGGUAUUCAAUGGGCGCAGCCUGAUGGAGCACACCGCGUGAGUGAAGAAGGGUUUCGGCUCGUAAAGCUCUGUUGUUAAAGAAGAACACGUAUGAGAGUAACUGUUCAUACGUUGACGGUAUUUAACCAGAAAGUCACGGCUAACUACGUGCCAGCAGCCGCGGUAAA